AGCAUUUGGUUAAACCAAGCACUUAAAGGAGUCUGGGACCACCAUGGGAAUACAAUAGAAAAUGCUCAUCUUCUCACUUUGUUUCAUCAGCUCUGCAAACUCUUAUUUUUUUGAAUUUGUCCUAUUUUUGUGUUUGAUGGGGAUGCUCCACUAUUGAAGAAACAGACUUUGGCUAAGAGAAGGCUGAGAAAGGAUUCUGCAUCCAGUGACUCCUGAAAAACUACAGAGAAGCUUUUGAAAACAUUUUUGAAAAGACAAGCUAUCAAAACUGCCUUCCGAAGCAAAAGAGAUGAAGCACUGCCCAGUCUCACGCAGGUUCUCACGCAGAUGAUAUCUACGCUUUGCCUCCUUUACAAGAGGAAGAAAAACACAGUUCAGAAGAGGAAGAUGAAAAAGAAUGGCAAGAAAGAAUGAAUCAAAAACAAGCAUUACGGGAAGAGUUCUUCAUAAUCCUCAAGCAAUAGAUAUUGAGUCUGAGCAGCCUGCCCCCUGAAAUAAAGCAUGAUAUCUUAUCUGAUAUGAAAGAAUUUACCAAGAGAAGAAGAACGUUAUUUGAAGCAAUGCCAGAGGAGUCCAGUGACUUUUCACAAUACCAACUCAAAGGCUUGCUUAAAAAAAACUAUCUAAACCUUUUGGUUAUUUUCCACUUUCCACUUAUUUUAAACCAGCACAUAGAACAGGUCCAAAAGGAAAUGAAUCAGCAACAUUCAGGACAAAUCCAAAGGCAAUAUGAAGAUGAAGGGGGCUUUUUGAAGGAGGUAGAGUCAAGGAGAGUGGUCUCUGAAGACACUUCACAUUACAUCUUGAUAAAAGGUAUUCAAGCUAAGAAAGUUGCAGAAAUGGAUUCAGAAUCUCUUUCUUCUUCCAGCAAAAUGCACAGCAUGUCUUUAAUUAAGUCACCUGCAUGUGAAAAAGUGAAGGCAGAGGAAGAGGCUGGUGCCACCCCUCCUUCUCCUAGAACUUUGCUGGCUAUGCAAACUGCUGUGCUGGGGAAGAGCUCAGAAGAGGAGAGUGAGGAGGGAGCAUGGGGGCAGGAGUGCAGGUGCGUCCUCAAGGACUCUGCGCCAGAGAGCUCUCGAUGAUGAUGAAGAUGUGAAGGUGCCUGCAGAGGACACCAUGCAGUCAGGAGGGCCAGGAGCCACCAGACUGCUCUGGACAGUUCCACUGAGGGCAAGGAUGGACUUACAGUGAGCAAUGGAAAAGGAGUGCUGUUUACUCCCGUGCUGGCUUCUGCCAGUGUGAAUUCUGCGGAGGAGUGUGCCGCCAGCACUCCUGAUGAGAGAGGGCUGACAGACUCGGCUCCCAAGGAACAAACAUCGUUUAUUCAUGUGGCAGAUGAAGCCUUUCAGAUAGACAAUGAAUCUGUCAUUAAAGAUGCAAAAGACCCACUUUCCUCAGAAAGUACGGUGGAGGGAUGUGCCUGGGCUGGCAGGUGGAAGGGGCAUGACACAGGCACUGGCAACAAGUGCAAGUUCUGUGUCCAGGGAUGAAACAUGUACCACAGUGCUUGAGCCACAGGAACACGUUUGCCGGCCUGAGAGUAAAUAUGCUUCCUCUGCUCUUUCAAGUGAUGAUGAAACAGAAUGUGAACAAAAUCCUGCUUCUGAAGUCAUCGGUACUGUCAGUUUGCAAGAAAUGAGUAAGAUGGUAGGUGUCCCUUCAGAGGCAGUAGGUGACUUAGAAAAUGUGGUAUCAUCUAAUGCUAAAGAGCACAAGAAUUUCCUAAACACCAUCCAAGAACAGGAGAUGAUUGAGUCUGCAGGCCAGGAUUUAAUUUUGGUUCCAAAGUCCAUAGAACCAAUGGACAUCAACUCCGAAGAAAGUGAAUCUGAUGGGAGUUUCAUUGAAGUGCAAAGUGUGGUUAGUGAUGAUGAACUUCAAGCUGAAUUGCAUGAAGCUUCCAGAUCUCCCUCUGAACAAGAUGAAGAGGAACAGAUAGGAAUUAGGGAGGAAGAAGCCACUGCUGACACCAGGAGCCUCCCACAGGACAACUCUGAAAGCCAGGACUUAGAUGUUGAGGCAUGGGAAGAAGCUGAAAAAGAUGCAGAUGAUUCGUUCAACGAAUGGCAAGAUAUUAAUUUGGAGGAGCUGGAAACUCUGGAGAACAACCUUUUAGCAGAACAGAAUUCCCUAAAAGCUCAACAACAGCAGCAAGAACGGGUUGCUACUACUGUAACCAUGAAGAUGUGCCUGGAAAGCCAGGAGCUCCUGUGGCUCUUCGGUAUUCCCUACAUCCAGGCUCCUAUGGAGGCAGUGGCGCAGUGCGCCAUCCUAGACCUGACCGACCAGACUUGUGGAACGAUCACUGAUGACAGUGAUAUCUGGCUGCUUGGAGUACGGCAUGUGUAUAAAAACUUCUUUAAUAAAAACAAGUUUGUAGGAUAUUACCAAUAUGUGGACUUUCACAACCAAUUAUGAUUGGACUGGAACAAAUUAAUAAACUUGGCCUAUUUGCUUGGAAGUGACUAUACUGAGGGAAUACCAACCGUAGGUUGUUUAACAGCCAUGGAAAUCCUCAAUGAAUUCCCUAGACAUGGCCUGGAACCUCUCCUAAAAUUCUCAGAGUGGUGGAAUGAAGCCCAAAAAAAUACGAAGAUAAGACCUAAUCCCCAUGACACCAAAGUGAAAAAAAAAUUACGGAAGUUGCAGCUCACACCUGGUUUUCCUAACCCAGCUGUUGCAGAUGCUUACCUCAAACCCGUGGUGGAUGACUCCAAGGGAUCGUUUCUGUGGGAGAAACCCGACCUUGACAAAAUUAGAGAGUUUUGUCAGCGAUAUUUUGGCUGGAACAGGAUGAAGACAGAUGAAUGUCUGUUUCCAGUAUUAAAGCAGCUCAGUGCUCAGCAGACACAGCUCCAAAUUGAUUCUUUCUUUAGAGUGGCUCAACAGGAGAAACAAGAUGCUAAUAAACGUAUUAAGAGCCAGAGACUAAACAGAGCUGUGACGUGUAUGCUAAGGAAAGAGAGAGAAGAAGCAACCAGUGAAAUAGAAGCAGUUUCUGUUGCUAUGGAGAAAGAAUUUGAGCUACUUGAUAAGGCAAAAGGAAAAACCCAGAAGAAAAGCAUAGCAAAUAAAUUGAAAGAGUCAUCAAGCCUGAAAAGAAAGAGGUUUUCAGAUUCCAAACGAGAGAAUAAGUGUGGUGGAUUUUUGGGGGAGGCCUACCUCUCAGAACCCUCUGAUGCAUCUUCAAGUGAGGAUGCUGAAGGUUUAUCCUUAAUGAAUAUUCAAAGGAGAAAAGCAGAAAAAGAGUCAAAAAUCAGCUCUCCAGAUUUGUAAGAGCUCUCCAUGCAAAAGACUCAUGUAAAUGAUGGAGGUGUGACUACGGGCAGCUCUAGUGACGAUGAUGGAAAGAAAGCAAAGACCGUCCUCGUGAUGGCCAGAUCUGUGUUUGGGAAGGGAAGAGGGAAACUGAGAAGUGCAAGGGGAAGGAAAAGAAAAACCUAA